rnacentral:rRNA from 1 species
AAAUUGAAGAGUUUGAUCAUGGCUCAGAUUGAACGCUGGCGGCAGGCCUAACACAUGCAAGUCGAACGGUAACAGGAAACAGCUUGCUGUUUCGCUGACGAGUGGCGGACGGGUGAGUAAUGUCUGGGAAACUGCCUGAUGGAGGGGGAUAACUACUGGAAACGGUAGCUAAUACCGCAUAACGUCGCAAGACCAAAGAGGGGGACCCUCGGGCCUCUUGCCAUCGGAUGUGCCCAGAUGGGAUUAGCUUGUUGGUGGGGUAACGGCUCACCAAGGCGACGAUCCCUAGCUGGUCUGAGAGGAUGACCAGCCACACUGGAACUGAGACACGGUCCAGACUCCUACGGGAG